rnacentral:rRNA from 1 species
CAGUAGCCGCGGUAAUACAGAGGGUGCGAGCGUUAAUCGGAUUUACUGGGCGUAAAGCGUGCGUAGGCGGCUAAUUGAGUCGGAUGUGAAAUCCCCGAGCUUAACUUGGGAAUUGCAUUCGAUACUGGUUAGCUAGAGUGUGGGAGAGGAUGGUAGAAUUCCAGGUGUAGCGGUGAAAUGCGUAGAGAUCUGGAGGAAUACCGAUGGCGAAGGCAGCCAUCUGGCCUAACACUGACGCUGAGGUACAAAAGCAUGGGGAGCAAACAGGAUUAGAUACCCCCGUAGUCCCUGUCUCUUAUAC